ACGAAACUAAUGACCAAGAGGAGUACAUGUGUUAGGAGAUUCACAGAGAGCUGUAGGCGGUGAGAUUACAGUAUUCAAUAAGGCAUGGAAUGGACUUGGGAAGGUGGGAGUAAAGAGUCCGGCAAAGCACGGCUCGAGUAAUGCCCAACGGGAUUUCCGCCCGUUAUCAAGGGAAAGCGCAUGAUGGUGCGUGUGUAGAGUGGGUGUAUUUUUGAUACGCCAAAUUAGGUGGUACCGCAGAAGUAUUUAAGCUUUUGCCCUAGUA
rnacentral:ncRNA from 1 species